GAUGAGGUUCUUGGAGAAGGCACCUUGAGUCUGGCGCCUUAGACCGCUUGGCCAUCCUGACACAGAAGGCACCUUGUACACAGCACUGCUCCUUUAACGAUGAUCUUGUUCUCACGCAUCGGUGGACUCCGGCUAUGUGCUGGGCACGAGCAGACCGGGAAGCAAAGCCUCUCUGAUACCAUCAUUUGCAAAGCCCCAACUUCUUCUGCAUCACUGUUUGGACCAGAAUUCAGCCCCACCUGGCGUCACGCAGGGAACAGCAGGCAGGCCCUGCCCGGGAGUCUCGUAACUGAGGAUGAAGCCGAGAGAGGAACAGCUGCUGCCCUUUUUUGUGCCAUUGGGAGAAUAAGAACUCCCUGAAG
rnacentral:lncRNA from 1 species